CUGAGAUCGCACCUGCAAGACAGGAGAAGGAGCCCUGAGAAGGUGGCUGGGAGCUCGUGGAGGAUGUCCCAGGCUAAGAAGUCCAGCUGCAUCACAAUCCCACCAGUGUGAGCAGGAGGCAAGAGCCAGGGUACCCACCUGCACCUUUGGAUGCACUGCUCAGAGCAUCUCAGCAGCCAUCACCCUGCCCAGCAGGAUGGGAGCUGGAGGCAAGAAGCCCUGGGGAAAGCCGUGAGCCACUGCACUACCUCUGCCCAGCCACACACCAACAACCUCCUCGCUGCUCUGCCCUGAGAAAUCAACCACAAGCACCAAAGUGCUCGAGGAGAGCAGCCACGCUGCUGCCAUCAGCCUGGAAAACAGCUUUGCCUCAGAAAGGAGCUGCUCUGGAGGGAAGGGGACCUUCAUCAGCGCUUUUCCGAGCAGCCCAUGCAGAGAACCCCCCGGCAAUCCUCAGCAGGGAGGUGGGAGGUGGUGUGCUGGGCUCUGCCUCCAUCUGCAGGUGAUCCGUGGGAGCGCACCGAGGCAGCAGCAACCCGCGUCCAGGACCGGCUCAGGACUCGGUCGAUGAAGCAAUGCCAACAUCAGCUGUCUCCUCAGCUUUGGAUCCAAAGUGCACUGCUUCAUGUUCACUUGUGCUGAGCUCCUCCCUCUGGUUUCGUGCCCUCCUCGAUAAUGCUUUCUGAGGCAUUAGCACUGGAUCCAAUGUUAGUGCCAUCAGCACAUUUGUUGGCAUCAAAUUCCUCU